CUGGCUCAGAUUGAACGCUGGCGGCAGGCCUAACACAUGCAAGUCGAGCGGAAACGAGUUAACUGNACCUUCGGGGAACGUUAACGGCGUCGAGCGGCGGACGGGUGAGUAAUGCCUGGGAAAUUGCCCUGAUGUGGGGGAUAACCAUUGGAAACGAUGGCUAAUACCGCAUAAUAGCUUCGGCUCAAAGAGGGGGACCUUCGGGCCUCUCGCGUCAGGAUAUGCCCAGGUGGGAUUAGCUAGUUGGUGAGGUAAGGGCUCACCAAGGCGACGAUCCCUAGCUGGUCUGAGAGGAUGAUCAGCCACACUGGAACUGAGACACGGUCCAGACUCCUACGGGAGGCAGCAGUGGGGAAUAUUGCACAAUGGGCGCAAGCCUGAUGCAGCCAUGCCGCGUGUAUGAAGAAGGCCUUCGGGUUGUAAAGUACUUUCAGCAGUGAGGAAGG
rnacentral:rRNA from 1 species